GACAGAGGUGGCGACCGUUGUUCGGAAUCACUGGGCAUAAAGCGCGUGUAGGCGGUGAGAUAAGUCGGGUGUGAAAUCCCUCGGCCUAACCGAGGAAUUGCGCUCGAAACUAUCUCGCUUGAGGAUCAGAGGGGAGCCUGGAAUUCCUGGUGGAGCGGUGAAAUGCGUUGAUAUCAGGAGGAACACCGGCGGCGAAGGCGAGGCUCUGGCUGAUUUCUGACGCUGAGACGCGAAAGCUAGGGGAGCAAAC
rnacentral:rRNA from 1 species